UGGGGAAUAUUGCACAAUGGGCGCAAGCCUGAUGCAGCCAUGCCGCGUGUAUGAAGAAGGCCUUCGGGUUGUAAAGUACUUUCAGCGGGGAGGAAGGGAGUAAAGUUAAUACCUUUGCUCAUUGACGUUACCCGCAGAAGAAGCACCGGCUAACUCCGUGCCAGCAGCCGCGGUAAUACGGAGGGUGCAAGCGUUAAUCGGAAUUACUGGGCGUAAAGCGCACGCAGGCGGUUUGUUAAGUCAGAUGUGAAAUCCUCGGGCUCAACCUGGGAAAUGCAUCUGAUACUGGCAAGCUUGAGUCUCGUAGAGGGGGGUAGAAUUCCAGGUGUAGCGAUGAAAUGCGUAGAGAUCUGGAGGAAUACCGGUGGCGAAGGCGGCCCCCUGGACGAAGACUGACGCUCAGGUGCGAAAGCGUGGGGAGCAAACAGG
rnacentral:rRNA from 1 species